UACAGAGACUGCAAGCGUUAUUCGGAUUCACUGGGCGUAAAGGGUGCGCAGGCGGCCGAGUGUGUGAGGCGUGAAAGCCCGGGGCUUAACCCCGGAAUUGCACCUCAAACUACACGGCUAGAGCAUUGGAGAGGGUAGCAGAAUUCAUGGUGCAGCAGUGAAAUGCGUAGAUAUCAUGAGGAAUACCAGAGGCGAAGGCGGCUACCUGGACAAUUGCUGACGCUCAGGCACGAAAGCGUGGGGAGCAAAAGGG
rnacentral:rRNA from 1 species